rnacentral:lncRNA from 1 species
GAAUCCCCCUUGAUGAUAUUGCAUUCAAGAAAUAAACUCUAUGGUUCUUGAUUAAAAAUGAAUGGUAGGAUAGAUCUAAUCAUAGUAUAUAUUUCAUGAACAUAUGAACUCAAUUUCUAAGCAUUCAUCGUGCUCACUACGUCUACGACGAAUCAAAUACUAAAGCAAUCCAUAUAUCAAUAGUCAUAAACCAUUAAAGAACUAUCUACGAAAU